GGGGGCGUACUGGUUUCGACGGGAUUGUUGAGACUUGAGUAGCGGGUGGUGGAUUCUCGUUGGCCACCUUAAAAACGAGAGUAUAAAAAUAAACGCUAAGAACGAAGAUUACGUUUUAGCUGCUGCUUAAUAGAAUAAGCAGCCCGUCAGUCCCAGGUUGCUGCACCUGGGGUCACUGGCGUCAUCAAGCCAGCCCUUCGGCGCGGGAAGGUUAAACGCCGGAACUGCUGCAGUGGUAGCCUUGAGCUGCAGUGGAUUUAAAGGAUACCAAAAUGUAAAGCCUGCCCAUGGACUUUACAUGGAGGGAAAGGGUCUUUGACCAGAAUUCAUGGGCUGCACCCGGAGAAGCUCUUGUGGAUAUGAUUUCGGACAGGGGUUCGACUCCCCUCGCCUCCACCA
rnacentral:tmRNA from 1 species